rnacentral:rRNA from 1 species
CCUUUGCGUUAGCGGNGACGGGUGAGUAACACGUGGGUAACCUACCUAUAAGACUGGGAUAACUUCGGGAAACCGGAGCUAAUACCGGAUAAUAUUUCGAACCGCAUGGUUCGAUAGUGAAAGGUGGUUUUGCUAUCACUUAUAGAUGGACCCGCGCCGUAUUAGCUAGUUGGUAAGGUAACGGCUUACCAAGGCGACGAUACGUAGCCGACCUGAGAGGGUGAUCGGCCACACUGGAACUGAGACACGGUCCAGACUCCUACGGGAGGCAGCAGGC